rnacentral:rRNA from 1 species
GCCCAGCACUUCUGUUGGGUCCGGUGCGCUCUCGACGUCCCUUGAAAAUCCGCGGGAAGGAAUAAUUCUCACGCCAGGUCGUACUCAUAA